GGGAUGGGGAUGGUCUAGCAUGCGAGUCAUUGUAGCAAUACAAGGCAGACGGCUCAGUAACGCGUAGUCAAUCUACCCUAUGGACGGGAAUAACCUCGGGAAACUGAGAAUAAUGCCCGACAGAACAUUAUACCUGGAACGGUUUAUGUUUCAAAUGAUUUAUCGCCGUAGGAUGGGACUGCGGCCUAUCAGUUUGUUGGUGAGGUAAUGGCCCACCAAGACUAUUACAGGUACGGGCUCUGAGAGGAGAAGCCCGGAGAUGGGCACUGAGACAAGGGCCCAGGCCCUAUGGGGCGCAGCAGGCGCGAAACCUCUGCAAUAGGCGAAAGCCUGACAGGGUUACUCUGAGUGGUUCCCGCUAAGGGGAUCUUUUGGCACCUCUAAAAAUGGUGCAGAAUAAGGGGUGGGCAAGCCUGGUGUCAGCCGCCGCGGUAAUACCAGCACCCCGAGUGGUCGGGACGUUUAUUGGGCCUAAAGCAUCCGUAGCCGGUUCUACAAGUCUUCCGUUAAAUCCAACUGCUUAACAGGUGGGCUGCGGAAGAUACUAUAGAGCUAGGAGGCGGGAGAGGCAAGCGGUACUCGAUGGGUAGGGGUAAAAUCCGUUGAUCCAUUGAAGACCACCAGUGGCGAAGGCGGCUUGCCAGAACGCGCUCGACGGUGAGGGAUGAAAGCUGGGGGAGCAAACCGGAUUAGAUACCCGGGUAGUCCCAGCUGUAAACGAUGCAGACUCGGUGAUGGGCUAGCCUCGUGUCAGCCCAGUGCCGCAGGGAAGCCGUUAAGUCUGCCGCCUGGGGAGUACGGUCGCAAGACUGAAACUUAAAGGAAUUGGCGGGGGAGCACCGCAAGGGGUGAAGCCUGCGGUUCAAUUGGAGUCAACGCCGGG
rnacentral:rRNA from 1 species